rnacentral:rRNA from 1 species
UACGAAGGGGCUAGCGUUGCUCGGAAUCACUGGGCGUAAAGGGUGCGUAGGCGGGUCUUUAAGUCAGGGGUGAAAUCCUAGGAAGCUCAACUCCAGAACUGCCUUUGAUACUGGCGACCUUGAGUCCGGGAGAGGUGAGUGGAACUGCGAGUGUAGAGGUGAAAUUCGUAGAUAUUCGCAAGAACACCAGUGGCGAAGGCGGCUCACUGGCCCGGUACUGACGCUGAGGUGCGAAAGCGUGGGGAGCAACAGGG